rnacentral:ncRNA from 1 species
CAAAAAAAUUAUUUUUUAAAAAGAUAAAUAAAUAAAAAUUAAUAUUUAAAAUUGAUAAAUUAAAUAAAUUUAAAUUCAGUUAUAUUAAUUAGAAUUAAUGAAAUUUGUGCCAGCAAUUGCGGUUAUACAAAAAAUUCAAAUAAAAUAAUUUUAAUUUAAAAAUAAUGAAAUUAUAAUAAAAAAAUUUUUAAUAAAAUAUAUAAUAUAAUAAUAAUUUUUUAAGAUAAAAUUUAUAAAAUUAAUUAUUUAAUUUUAAUUAGAAUUUAUUUGAUAAAAAUUUAAAUUAAACUAGGAUUAGAUACCCUAUUAUAAAAUUAAUAAAAUUUUAAAUUAAUUAGUAAUAUAUAAUUUAUUGAAAAUUAAAGAAUUUGGCGGUAUUUUAAUCAAUUUAGAGGAACUUGUAGUGUAAUUGAUAAUCCACGAUUUUAUAAACUUAAUUUAAAAAUUUUGAAAAUUUGUAUAUCGUUGUUAAAAAAAUAUUUUUAAAAAAAAAUUGAAUAUUUAAUAAUUUUAAAAUAAAAUUAAAUCAAAUCAAGAUACAGUUUAUAGUUAAGAAACUUAUGAGUUACAUGUAAAUUAAUUUAUUGGAAAAUGUAAUUUUGAAAAAAAAAUAUGUUAAAUUGGAUUUAAAAGUAAAUUUAUUAAUAUAUUUAUAUUGAAUAAAGUUUUAAAAUAUGUACAUAUUGCCCGUCGCUCUGAUAUAUAAAUAUUAAUUAAUAUAAUUAAUAUUUAAAAUUGAGAUAAGUCGUAACAUAGUAGAGAUAUUGGAAAAUGUUUCUGGAAUGAA